GGUGGCAGAGUGGUUAAGCGCUUGGCUGCUAACCAAAAGGUUGGCGGUUCGAACCCACCAGCCA
rfam:Loxodonta africana unplaced genomic scaffold scaffold_12, whole genome shotgun sequence.